GACGAACGCUGGCGGCGUGCCUAACACAUGCAAGUCGAGCGAGGAGAGUUCCUUCGGGAACAAACCUAGCGGCGGACGGGUGAGUAACACGUGGGCAACCUGCCUUGUANAGGGAAUAGCCUUCCGAAAAGGAAGAUUAAUACCGCAUAAUAUUACAGUUUCGCAUGAAACAGUAAUUAAAGGAGCAAUCCGUUACAAGAUGGGCCCGCGGCGCAUUAGCUAGUUGGUGAGGUAACGGCUCACCAAGGCGACGAUGCGUAGCCGACCUGAGAGGGUGAUCGGCCACAUUGGGACUGAGACACGGCCCAGACUCCUACGGGAGGCAGCGGUGGGGAAUAUUGCACAAUGGGGGAAACCCUGAUGCAGCAACGCCGCGUGAGUGAUGAAGGUUUUCGGAUCGUAAAGCUCUGUCUUCGGGGACGAUAAUGACGGUACCCGAGGAGGAAGCCACGGCUAACUACGUG
rnacentral:rRNA from 1 species